GGUCCUGAGGUGUAGCGGUUGCAUGCUUUCUUAGGGAAAUACUCUUCCUGAGAUACUGGAAGAGGUGCCUGGUUCGACUCCUGGCUGGACCC